GUGAGUGGAGACAGCCAUGAGUUGCUCAACAUGUCGAGCAGCGGCCGCCUAUGAGGAGAGUGAGUGGAGACGCACAAAUAUGUGUGGCGGAGGGGCGACGGAAGCUCAAACGGAAGAUUCAUCGCCAACAUCGAAGAAAUCUAUGGCCUGAUCGACCCUAAAGCUCCUACAUGGACGCGAAGGUGUGUCAUUAUUAAGAAGUCCAGUCUUUGGAAACUUAGCAUGCUAGGAAAUUCUCUCUGGCCAAUUUUGUAUGUACUUGGGAGCAUUGCUAAUUUCUGUCAACGCGAAUGAUAUCUGGACUAUUUAUAUAGCUACCAUGCGAUGAACAAAUUGUUGGAUUAAUGUAACACUCCUGAAUAGAUUGGUAUGUGUGCCAUGUCAUUUCGUUUGGUUUACACUACCAUAAUCAUUUUGUCAGUGCCUGAUCUAUUAAAACUGAUUUGAGAGAAAAUGCUUCCAAAAUGUUAUCUUGAUAGCAACAUUGUAGCUAUUUUUUCGGGCAUGUAUGAUUAAGCAUAGGUGUCAAUUUUGGAUGCAUGAUAGAUUGUUAGCUGUUUUGAUUCCAUAUUUUAACGACUAUUGAGAAUUAUGAUGGGCUUGGAUUAGAGGACUGGAUUGUUGCAGAUGGUUAUGGUGUGAAUCUGAUUCAUACUAAAGGGACUCUUGUGGUUGCAGGUGACCGGGGCAGAUUGCCGGCAUUCGCCCCACUAUGGGCAAUCUAUGUGAUGAUCUGCUCUCCGCAAUCGAAGCCAGGAAUGAGCGGCAAGAUCUCUUCGGGAAUGGCUGAUGAGGAAGAAUUGACUGUGGGGGAAUGGUGGAUCUAGGUGGAGUUCGCUUUAGCCAGUGAGGGACGAGCUUGAGUUGUGUAGGGGAAGGGAAGCCACCUGCAUGAGUCAGACAUAAUAAAUCGGCUCGAAAAUGACUCUAUUAGUCCAGAAUCUCGUCUUGGACGACCCAUAUGGUGGACUGACAUUCGAUCCAGUGUGAAAGUGCCUCACAUAGUCAUGUUUCAUGGACUUCGGAUGUGGGCCAUAUUCACUGUUCAAAAGAAGCAUACAUAGGUUAUUAGUGGCCUAUGUGUGUUGGGCUGUAAAUCCCGGGGCAACUUGAUGGGAGGGAUAACGAGCACACCUGUGCUCCAACACAUAAUAGAGUGCAUAUAACAUGGCUUUCUCACGACUUAUGCCACUAAUAAGAAGU
rnacentral:lncRNA from 1 species